AUGGCCAUCCAGCAUCUGCUCCUCAUCGUCUUCCUGGCUUCCGUCCUCCAAGCGGCCACCUCCGACACAGCGUACGACCUUUUGGAGAAAAACAACUUCCCGCGGGCUCUCCUGCCUCAGGGUGUGAAGUCGUACGUGAACCAUGGGGGCGCCGUUGAGGUGACCCUCCCUGCCUCCUGCGAUUUCAACGUUACGGUUGCCGGUGGAUCACACAAGAUUCGGUUUGACAGCAUAGUCAGUGGGGUUAUCCGGCCCGGAUCCAUAACUCAACUGGGCGGCGUGAGGAUCCAGUUUGAGUGGGAUUUUCUUGCAUUCCACACGGUUCAACGCGUCGGUGACAAGCUCAGGUUUACUGGUAGUGAGCAUGCAGCCACGUUCGACCAGUCAUUUCCGGUUAGCAACUUCGUGCAGAGCGCCAGGUGCAGCUAA
rnacentral:rRNA from 1 species